GAUGAACGCUAGCGGGAGGCUUAACACAUGCAAGUCGAGGGGCAGCAUAGGGUAGCAAUACUCUGAUGGCGACCGGCAAACGGGUGAGUAACGCGUAUGCAACCUACCCUGUACAGGGGGAUAACCCGGAGAAAUUCGGACUAAUAUCCCGUAAUAAUAUCCGGAGGCAUCUUUGGAUAUUUAAAGUUCCGACGGUACGGGAUGGGCAUGCGUAACAUUAGCUGGUUGGUAAGGUAACGGCUUACCAAGGCUAUGAUGUUUAGGGGUCCUGAGAGGGUGGUCCCCCACACUGGUACUGAGACACGGACCAGACUCCUACGGGAGGCAGCAGUGAGGAAUAUUGGUCAAUGGGCGCAAGCCUGAACCAGCCAUCCCGCGUGCAGGAAGACGGCCCUAUGGGUUGUAAACUGCUUUUCCUAGGGAGAGAAACUUACGCACGUGUUGCGUGACUGACGGUACCCUGGGAAUAAGCAUCGGCUAACUCCGUGCCAGCAGCCGCGGUAAUAGUGUGUGUAC
rnacentral:rRNA from 1 species